rnacentral:misc_RNA from 1 species
AACCAUAGAAACCUGCGGAGUACCUGCGGAAGGAUCAUUACAGAGUUGCAAAACUCCCUAAACCUUUGUGAACGUUACCUAAACCGUUGCUUCGGCGGGCGGCCCGGGUCCUUCCCGGCGCCCCUCGGCCCUCGCGGGCGCCCGCCGGAGGUAAACCAAACUAUUGCAUUGUAUGGCCUCUCUGAGUCUUCUGUACUGAAUAAGUCAAAACUUUCAGCAAUGGAUCUCAGAUCGGAAGAG